CAGGGAGACAACAAAAUGUUUAAUAUUAUUAUUUUGUCACCUUAGGUCGAUCGAUAUCUCACGUUCUUAAUUUAUUAAGGAUUUCAUUUCCUAAGUUUUUCUAGGUCACACCCAUUAUUUUUCCUGGGCCAUUAGCUCAGGUGGUUAGAGCGCACCCCUGAUAAGGGUGAGGUCCCUGGUUCAAGUCCAGGAUGGCCCAUAUCUCUAUGUUGGGGGUAUAGCUCAGUUGGUAGAGCGCCUGCUUUGCAAGCAGGAUGUCAGCGGUUCGAGUCCGCUUACCUCCACUGAUUACCACCUCUUCCAUUAAAUAUAGAAGGGAAAUGUUUUGAGUCGUGAUCCUAUUCUGAACGAAUCUAGCUUCCUAAUGUAUUCAUUAAGAUGCUGGACUCAUUGAAUUAAUUUCAUUGUUUUCAGAGAACCUUGACAACUGCAUAGAUUAUUUUUAAAGACAAUAAGCAUCUUUAAUGAUGCAGAUUUAUUAUUUGUGCGAAUGCAUUAAUAACAAUUCCAUUAAGCUGAUGCUUCAAUUUUGAAGUUAUU
rnacentral:tRNA from 1 species